rnacentral:pre_miRNA from 1 species
AUGGUACUCCCUCCGUCCCAAAAUUCUUGUCUUAGAUUUAUCUAGAUACGGAUGUAUCUAACAUUAAAAUGUGAAUAGAUACAUCCGUAUCUAGACAAAUUCAAGACAAGAAUUUUGGGACGGAGGGAGUAUAUU